rnacentral:rRNA from 1 species
UACGUAGGGGGCAAGCGUUGUCCGGAUUUAUUGGGCGUAAAGAGCGUGUAGGCGGCCAUGUAGGUCCGUUGUGAAAACUCGAGGCUCAACCUCGAGACGCCGAUGGAAACCAUGUGGCUAGAGUCCGGAAGAGGAGAGUGGAAUUCCUGGUGUAGCGGUGAAAUGCGUAGAUAUCAGGAGGAACACCUGUGGCGAAAGCGGCUCACUGGACCACAACUGACGCUGAGGCGCGAAAGCUAGGGGAGCAAACAGG